rnacentral:rRNA from 1 species
AGAGCGUAGGGAGGAUACCUAGGCACCAAGAGCCGAAGAAGGACGUGAUAAGCUGCGAAAAGCUAUGGUAAGGAGCAAAUAUCCUAUGACCCAUAGAUAUCCGAAUGAGGGAACUCAUCCACAGAAAAAAGUGUGGAUAUCCAUAUAUGAGUAAAGUAGUAUAUAGGAAGGGAACGCAAGGAACUGAAACAUCUUAGUACUUGUAGGAAGAGAAAGAAAAAUCGAUUCUGUGAGUAGUGGCGAGCGAAAGCGGAAGAGCCCAAACCAAUGUUGCUUGCAACGUUGGGGUUCGGACUACAUAAUCCAUUUAUCGAGCGAAUAAGAAUUGUUUGGGAAGGCAAAUCAUAGAAGGUGAAAAUCCUGUAUUAGAAGUGAGAUAGAGGAGGUAGUAUCCAGAGUAGUGCGAGGCACGUGAAACCUCGUAUGAAAGAGCGGGGACCACCCCGUAAGGCUAAAUACUACUUGGUGACCGAUAGAGAUUAGUACCGUGAGGGAAAGGUGAAAAGAACCCCGGGAGGGGAGUGAAAUAGAACAUGAAACCCUAUGCUUACAAACAGACAAAGCACGUUAAGGUGUGAUGUCGUACUUUUUGUAGAACGGUCCAGCGAGUUAUUGUAUAUGGCAAGGUUAAGCACUAUGUAAGGUGUGAAGCCGAAGCGAAAGCGAGUCUGAAAAGGGCGAAUUAAGUCAUAUGUAAUAGACCCGAAACCGGGUGACCUAACCAUGGUCAGGAUGAAGCUUGAGUAAAAUCAAGUGGAGGUCCGAACUGAUAAGCGUUAAAAAGCUUCCGGAUGAACUGUGGUUAGCGGAGAAAUUCCAAUCGAACUCGGAGAUAGCUGGUUCUCCUCGAAAUAGCUUUAGGGCUAGCCUUGAUGUAAAGAUAUAUGGGGGUAGAGCACUGAAGGUGCUAGGGGCCUAAACCAGGUUACUGAACACUAUCAAACUCCGAAUACCAUAUAUUAGUAGUCAGGAGUCAGACUGCGGGAGCUAAGUUCCGUGGUCAAAAGGGAAAGAGCCCAGAUCGUCAAUUAAGGUCCCAAAGAUAUAGCUAAGUGGGAAACGAUGUGAAAUUGCGUAAACAACCAGGAUGUUGGCUUAGAAGCAGCCAUACAUUUAAAGAGUGCGUAAUAGCUCACUGGUCGAGUGAAUUUGCGCGGAAAAUUACCGGGGCUAAGCUAUACACCGAAAUUGCGGGUUCAUAAGUAAUUAUGAGCGGUAGAGGAGCAUUCUGUAGUAGGGUGAAGUAUGAUCGAAAGGACAUAUGGACGAGGCAGAAGAGAGAAUGCUGGAAUAAGUAGCGAGAGCAAAGUGAGAAUCUUUGCCGUCGAAAGUCUAAGGUUUCCUGGGGAAGGUUCGUCCGCCCAGGGUAAGUCGGGACCUAAGGUGAGGCCAAGGAGGCGUAGCCGAUGGAUAGCAGGUAUAAAAUUCCUGCACUACCGAAAUACUUAAAAACGAUAAGGGACGCAGGAGAGGAAGGAAAUCCGGGAAGAGGAAAAACCGGAGCCGAAAGGCAUAGUGAAAAUUUAAAGUAACGAAGUUCCAAGAAUCACACUGACGAGAAAAGCUUAUUGACAUUGUAUUAAGGUACCCGUACCGCAAACCGACACAGGUAGAUGAGGAGAGGAUCCUAAGACGAGCGAGAGAAGUACUGUUAAGGAACUCGGCAAACUAACCCCGUAACUUAGGGAGAAGGGGUACCUAUGUAAAAGUAGGUCGCAGAGAAGAGUCCCAAGCAACUGUUUAACAAAAACACAGGUUUCUGCUAAAUCGAAAGAUGAAGUAUAGGAGCUGACGCCUGCCCAGUGCUGGAAGGUUAAGGGGAAAUGUUAGAGUAAUCGAAGCAUAGAACUAAAGCCCCAGUGAACGGCGGCCGUAACUAUAACGGUCCUAAGGUAGCGAAAUUCCUUGUCAGGUAAGUUCUGACCCGCACGAAAGGCGUAAUGAUUUGGGCACUGUCUCGACAAUGUACCCGGCGAAAUUGUAGUACUAGUGAAGAUGCUAGUUACCUGCGACAAGACAGAAAGACCCCAUGGAGCUUUACUGUAGCUUGAUAUUGGGUUUCGGUAAUUUAUGUACAGGAUAGGUGGGAGACUAUGAAGCAAGAGCGUCAGCUUUUGUGGAGUCACCCUUGGGAUACCACCCUUAAAUUAUUGGAAUUCUAACCUGUGAUCACGAACUGGUCAGGGGACAAUGUCAGGCGGGCAGUUUGACUGGGGCGGUCGCCUCCUAAAGAGUAACGGAGGCGCCCAAAGGUUUCCUCAACCCGGACAGAAAUCGGGUGAAAGAGUGCAAAGGCAGAAGGAAGCUUAACUGAAAGACAGACAUGUCGAGCAGAUACGAAAGUAGGGCUUAGUGAUCCGGUGGUAUGUGAGUGGAAAUGCCAUCGCUCAACGGACAAAAGUUACCCUGGGGAUAACAGGCUUAUCUCUCCCAAGAGUUCACAUCGACGGGGAGGUUUGGCACCUCGAUGUCGGCUCAUCGCAUCCUGGAGCUGAAGUCGGUUCCAAGGGUUGGGCUGUUCGCCCAUUAAAGCGGUACGCGAGCUGGGUUCAGAACGUCGUGAGACAGUUCGGUCCUUAUCUGUCGCAGGCGCAGGAUAUUUGAAGGGAGUUGUCCUUAGUACGAGAGGACCAGGAUGAACAUACCGAUGGUGCAACAGUUGUCACACCAGUGGCAUAGCUGUGUAGCUAAGUAUGGAAGGGAUAAACGCUGAAAGCAUCUAAGUGUGAAGCCCACCCUAAGAUAAGAUAUCCCACAACGUUAAGUUGG